UCUGGUUGAUCCUGCCGGACCUGACUGCUAUCGGAUUGGUACUAAGCCAUGCGAGUCAUUGUAGCAAUACAAGGCGGACGGCUCAGUAACACGUAGUCAACCUAACUCGUGGACGUGGAUAACCUCGGGAAACUGAGAAUAAACCACGAUAGAUCAUAGUGCCUGGAAUGGCUUAUGGUCCAAACAGUUUACUGCCAUGGGAUGGGACUGCGGCCUAUCAGCUUGUUGGUGAGGUAAUGGCCCACCAAGGCGAUUACAGGUACGGGCUCUGAGAGGAGAAGCCCGGAGAUGGGUACUGAGACACGGACCCAGGCCCUAUGGGGCGCAGCAGGCGAGAAACCUUAGCAAUGUGCGAAAGCACGACUGGGUCAGUCCGAGUGAUUCCUGAUAAAGGAGUCUUUUGCUUGUCCUAAAAGCACAGGUGAAUAAGGGGUGGGCAAGUCUGGUGUCAGCCGCCGCGGUAAUACCAGCACCUCGAGUGGUCAGGACGUUUAUUGGGCCUAAAGCAUCCGUAGCCGGCUUUGCAAGUCUUCGGUUAAAUCCACCUGCUCAACAGAUGGGCCGCUGGAGAUACUACAAAGCUAGGGAGUGGGAGAGGCAGACGGUAUUCAGUGGGUAGGGGUAAAAUCCUCUGAUCCAUUGAGGACCACCAGUGGCGAAGGCGGUCUGCCAGAACACGUUCGACGGUGAGGGAUGAAAGCUGGGGGAGCAAACCGGAUUAGAUACCCGGGUAGUCCCAGCUGUAAACGAUGCAAACUCGGUGAUGCAUUGGCUUAUGGCCAAUGCAGUGCCGCAGGGAAGCCGUUAAGUUUGCCGCCUGGGAAGUACGGACGCAAGUCUGAAACUUAAAGGAAUUGGCGGGGGAGCACCACAAGGGGUGAAGCCUGCGGUUCAAUUGGACUCAACGCCGGG
rnacentral:rRNA from 1 species